GGGAAACGGGUUGAGGGGCCAGCCCCAGGCCCCGACAACAAUUGGGGCA
rfam:TPA: Bos taurus chromosome 10, whole genome shotgun sequence.